rnacentral:rRNA from 1 species
GUGCCAGCCGCCGCGGUAAUUCCAGCUCCAAUAGCGUAUAUUAAAGUUGUUGUGGUUAAAAAGCUCGUAGUUGAACCUUGGGCCUGGCUGGCCGGUCCGCCUCACCGCGUGCACUGGUCCGGCCGGGCCUUUCCCUCUGUGGAACCCCAUACCCUUCACUGGGCGUGGCGGGGAAACAGGACAUUUACUUUGAAAAAAUUAGAGUGCUCCAGGCAGGCCUAUGCUCGAAUACAUUAGCAUGGAAUAAUAAAAUAGGACGCGCGGUUCUAUUUUGUUGGUUUAUAGGACCGCCGUAAUGAUUAAUAGGGACAGUCGGGGGCAUCAGUAUUCAACUGUCAGAGGUGAAAUUCUUGGAUCAGUUGAAGACUAACUACUGCGAAAGCAUUUGCCAAGGAUGUUUUCAUUAAUCAGGAACGAAAGUUAGGGGAUCGAAGACGAUCAGAUACCGUCGUAGUCUUAACCAUAAACUAUGCCGACUAGGGAUCGGACGGUGUUAUUCAUGACCCGUUCGGCACCUUACGAGAAAUCAAAGUGCUUGGGCUCCAGGGGGAGUAUGGUCGCAAGGCUGAAACUUAAAGAAAUUGACGGAAGGGCACCACCAGGGGUGGAGCCUGCGGCUUAAUUUGACUCAACACGGGGAAACUCACCAGGUCCAGACACAAUAAGGAUUGACAGAUUGAGAGCUCUUUCUUGAUUUUGUGGGGUGGUGCUGCAUGGCCGUUCUUAGUUGGUGGGGUGACUUGUCUGCUUAAUUGCGAUAACGAACGAGACCUUAACCUGCUAAAUAGCCCGCAUUGCUCCGGC